UAGGGAAUCUUCGGCAAUGGACGAAAGUCUGACCGAGCAACGCCGCGUGAGUGAAGAAGGUUUUCGGAUCGUAAAACUCUGUUGUUAGAGAAGAACAAGGACGUUAGUAACUGAACGUCCCCUGACGGUAUCUAACCAGAAAGCCACGGCUAACUACGUGCCAGCAGCCGCGGUAAUACGUAGGUGGCAAGCGUUGUCCGGAUUUAUUGGUCGUAAAGCGAGCGCAGGCGGUUUCUUAAGUCUGGUGUGAAAGCCCCCGGCUCAACCGGGGAGGGUCAUUGGAAACUGGGGGACUUGAGUGCAGAAGAGGGGAGUGGAAUUCCAUGUGUAGCGGUGAAAUGCGUAGAUAUAUGGAGGAAAACCAGUGGCGAAGGCGGCUCUCUGGUCUGUAACUGACGCUGAGGCUCGAAAGCGGGGGGAGCAAACAGG
rnacentral:rRNA from 1 species